rnacentral:rRNA from 1 species
UAGAGAUAGCUGGUUAUUCAGAAAAAGGAUACAGUCCAAAUUUAAAUCUCCUUAUACAACCAAAUACCACCUAAGAUUUAAAAUUCAUUCAAAUAAGGUACAGCCUAUUUGAAAUAGGGUACAACCUUGAACAUCGGGUAAUACUUUAACUACGUGACCAAGUAGGCCUAAAAGCAGCCACCUUUAAAAAAGCGUUAUAGCCUCAUCACAUCAAAUAAUUAAUCCCAAUAUAAAAUUAAAACCCCUCACUCUUACUGAAUGACUCCAUACUUUUAUGGAAAACCUUAUGUUAGAACUAGUAACAAGAAUAAUUUCUCCUCAAAUGUAAGCAUAUGCCAGAAUGAAUUUCCUCACUGGCACUUACCGUCAAUGAAUAUAAAGUAAUAACACUUCAAGAAAACAUUACUACUUCUUACGUUAACCUUACACUAGAACUUUUCUGGAAAGAUUAAAAAAGGGGGAAGGAACUCGGCAAAUACUGACUCCGCCUGUUUACCAA